GUAACGCAUGUGUGCUGCUCCAGUUCUCGUGGGCUUCGUACGAGGGAAGGGUUUUGAGGGCUUCCUUCUCCCACUUGCCCUUGGUAUGGGGAUUGGUCGCUAUCCUUUGCCAGCCCCGUCAAAGAUUGGACGGGCCUUACUUCCUGCUGUCACACACUCGGAUCUGAUCUUUUGUGUCUUGUGAUGGCUAUUUUUGAGCAUUGUGGUAUUUGAGCUGCGGCAGUGAAGCAGCUCCAUUUCAGCUUUCUCUCACCUGGCUUAUGAGCGCGGGGAAGAAUGUUUUGUUCUUGUCCCUCCUGCAGAAUCCUGAGCCAGGGUCCCAGCAGUC
rnacentral:sRNA from 1 species